UACAGAGACUGCAAGCGUUAUUCGGAUUUACUGGGCGUAAAGGGUGCGUAGGCGGCCAUGUGUGUGAGGCGUGAAAGCCCGGGGCUUAACCCCGGAAUUGCACCUCAAACUACAUGGCUAGAGCAUUGGAGAGGGUAGCGGAAUUCAUGGUGUAGCAGUGAAAUGCGUAGAUAUCAUGAGGAAUACCAGAGGCGAAGGCGGCUGCCUGGACAAUUGCUGACGCUCAUGCACGAAAGCGUGGGGAGCAAAACGG
rnacentral:rRNA from 1 species